CCAGAAUCUCCUAACCGGGAGGGCAGUCAGUGGGAAUAUUGCACAUGGCAGGCUGAUGCAGGCCAUGCCGCGUGUGUGAGAAGCUUCGGUGUAAGGCACUUUCAGUCGUGAGAUGUAGUGUAGGUAAUAGCUGCAUUAUUGACGUUAGCGACAGAAGAAGCACGGCUAACUCCGUGCCAGCAGCCGCGGUAAUACGGAGGGUGCGAGCGUUAAUCGGAAAUUACUGGGCGUAAAGCGCAUGCAGGUGGUUUGUUAAGUCAGAUGUGAAAGCCCGGGGCUCAACCUCGGAAUUGCAUUUGAAACUGGCAGACUAGAGUACUGUAGAGGGGGGUAGAAUUUCAGGUGUAGCGGUGAAAUGCGUAGAGAUCUGAAGGAAUACCGGUGGCGAAGGCGGCCCCCUGGACAGAUACUGACACUCAGAUGCGAAAGCGUGGGGAGCAAACAGGAUUAGAUACCCUGGUAGUCCACGCCGUAAACGAUGUCUACUUGGAGGUUGUGGCCUUGAGCCGUGGCUUUCGGAGCUAACGCGUUAAGUAGACCGCCUGGGGAGUACGGUCGCAAGAUUAAAACUCAAAUGAAUUGACGGGGGCCCGCACAAGCGGUGGAGCAUGUGGUUUAAUUCGAUGCAACGCGAAGAACCUUACCUACUCUUGACAUCCAGAGAACUUUCCAGAGAUGGAUUGGUGCCUUCGGGAACUCUGAGACAGGUGCUGCAUGGCUGUCGUCAGCUCGUGUUGUGAAAUGUUGGGUUAAGUCCCGCAACGAGCGCAACCCUUAUCCUUGUUUGCCAGCGAGUAAUGUCGGGAACUCCAGGGAGACUGCCGGUGAUAAACCGGAGGAAGGUGGGGACGACGUCAAGUCAUCAUGGCCCUUACGAGUAGGGCUACACACGUGCUACAAUGGCGCAUACAGAGGGCGGCCAACUUGCGAAAGUGAGCGAAUCCCAAAAAGUGCGUCGUAGUCCGGAUUGGAGUCUGCAACUCGACUCCAUGAAGUCGGAAUCGCUAGUAAUCGUGGAUCAGAAUGCCACGGUGAAUACGUUCCCGGGCCUUGUACACACCGCCCGCCACGCCACCGGACUAGAGUGCGAUACCUGGCUCAGGAUAAGUCGUAACAAGGUAACCAUGCUAGAGUUGCG
rnacentral:rRNA from 1 species